rnacentral:rRNA from 1 species
UACGUAGGUGGCAAGCGUUGUCCGGAUUUACUGGGCGUAAAGGAUGCGUAGGCGGAUAAUUAAGUCAGAUGUGAAAUCCCUAGGCUUAACCAAGGGACUGCAUUUGAAACUGGUUAUCUAGAGUGCGGGAGAGGUAAGUGGAAUUCCUAGUGUAGCGGUGAAAUGCGUAGAGAUUAGGAAGAACACCAGUGGCGAAGGCGACUUACUGGACCGUAACUGACGCUGAGGCAUGAAAGCGUGGGGAGCAAACAGG